GCAAGGACUGCCGAGGGCUGACCCCUGGCCACUGUCUCCCCACAGCUUGUGAGAACCCAGGUGGGCCCUCGGUCUUCAUCUUCCCCCCGAAACCCAAGGACACCCUCAUGAUAUCCCGGACGCCUGAGGUCACGUGUAUGGUGGUAGACGUGGCCCCAGAUGACCUCGAUGUCGAGUUCACCUGGUACGUAGACGACGAAGAGAAGAGCAAGAAGACAGUGAAGGCGCAGCAGCAGCUGUUCAACAGCACCUACCGCGUGGUCCAUACCCUCCCCAUCAUGCACCAGGACUGGCUGAAGGCCAAAGUGUUCAAGUGCAAGGUCAACAACAAGGCCAUACCCGCCCCCAUCGAGAGGACCAUCUCCAAGGCCAUAGGGCAAGACCGGGAGCCGCAGGUGUACAUCCUGGGCCCACACUCGGACGAACUGGCCAGGGACAAGGUCAGCGUGACCUGCCUGGUCAAAGCCUUCUUCCCGCCCGACAUCAGCGUGAAGUGGAUCUUCUCUUCGGUGGCCGACCUGAAGAGGACCGUCGUCCCCGACUACAGGAACAUGAUCGGACAAGGGGCCUAG